GACGAACGCUGGCGGCGUGCUUAACACAUGCAAGUCGAACGAAGUGGCGAACGGGUGAGUAAUACGUGGGAACCUGCCUGGUAGUGGGGGAUAACGUCCGGAAACGGGCGCUAAUACCGCAUACUAUCAGAUGAGCCUAGGUGGGAUUAGCUAGUUGGUGGGGUAAAGGCCUACCAAGGCGACGAUCCGUAACUGGUCGGAGAGGAUGAUCAGGCAAACUGGAACGUAGACACGGUCCAGACUCCUACGGGAGGCAGCAGUGGGGAAUAUUGGACAAUGGGCGAAAGCCUGAUCCAGACAUGCCGCAUGUGUGAAGAAGGUCUUCGGAUUGUAAAGCACGUUAAGUUGGGAGGCGUUACCAACAGAAUAAGCACCGGCUAACUUCGUGCCAGCAGCCGCGGUAAUUC
rnacentral:rRNA from 1 species